rnacentral:rRNA from 1 species
CGGACGGGUGAGUAACGCGUGAGAACUGCCUUCAGGACGGGGAUAACAGAGGGAAACCUCUGCUAAUACCCGAUGUGCCGAAAGGUGAAAGUAAUUCGCCUGAAGAUGAGCUCGCGUCCGAUUAGCUAGUUGGUGGGGUAAGAGCUUACCAAGGCGGCGAUCGGUAGCUGGUCUGAGAGGAUGAGCAGCCACACUGGGACUGAGACACGGCCCAGACUCCUACGGGAGGCAGCAGUGGGGAAUUUUCCGCAAUGGGCGAAAGCCUGACGGAGCAAGACCGCGUGGGGGAAGAAGGCUCUUGGGUUGUCAACCCCUUUUCUCAGGGAAGAAGUUCUGACGGUACCUGAGGAAUAAGCAUCGGCUAACUCCGUGCUAGCAGCCGCGGUAAGACGGAGGAUGCAAGCGUUAUCCGGAAUUAUUGGGCGUAAAGCGUCCGUAGGUGGCUUUUCAAGUCGGCGGUCAAAGACCGGGGCUUAACUCCGGAAAGGCCGUGGAAACUGAAAGGCUAGAGAAAGGUAGGGGUAGGGGGAAUUCCCGGUGUAGCGGUGAAAUGCGUAGAGAUCGGGAAGAACACCGGUGGCGAAAGCGCCCUACUGGACCUUAUCUGACACUGAGGGACGAAAGCUAGGGGAGCGAAAGGGAUUAGAUACCCCU